rnacentral:siRNA from 1 species
CGAUAAACGAACCAUUUGCUCGU